AGUGAACGCUGGCGGUAGGCCUAACACAUGCAAGUCGAACGGCAGCACAGUAAGAGCUUGCUCUUACGGGUGGCGAGUGGCGGACGGGUGAGGAAUACAUCGGAAUCUACUUUUUCGUGGGGGAUAACGUAGGGAAACUUACGCUAAUACCGCAUACGACCUACGGGUGACAGCAGGGGAUCUUCGGACCUUGCGCGAUUGAAUGAGCCGAUGUCGGAUUAGCUAGUUGGCGGGGUAAAGGCCCACCAAGGCGACGAUCCGUAGCGGGUCUGAGAGGAUGAUUAGCCACACUGGAACUGAGACACGGUCCAGACUCCUACGGGAGGCCGCAGUGGGGAAUAUUGGACAAUGGGCGAAAGCCUGAUCCAGCCAUACCGCGUGGGUGAAGAAGGCCUUCGGGUGGUAAAACCAUGUUGUUGGGAAAGAAAAGCAGCAGGUUCACACCCCGCUGUACUGACGGUACCCAAAGAAUAAGCACCGGCUAACUUCGUG
rnacentral:rRNA from 1 species